GGGGAAAGACUUAGAAUCCCCAUGGGUGAUGUGUGUUAAUAGUUAGCGUUUGGCCGCGCUGACGGUUAGUGAAUC
rnacentral:ncRNA from 1 species